GACGAACGCUGGCGGCGUGCUUAACACAUGCAAGUCGAACGGACAGACAGAGAGCUUGCUCUCUUGAAGUUAGUGGCGAACGGGUGAGUAACGCGUAAUCAACCUGCCCUUCAGAGGGGGAUAACAACGGGAAACCGUUGCUAAUACCGCGUACGAUUCAUGAACGGCAUCGGUUAUGAAUGAAAGGUGGCCUCUAUGUAUAAGCUAUCGCUGAAGGAGGGGAUUGCGUCUGAUUAGCUAGUUGGAGGGGUAACGGCCCACCAAGGCAAUGAUCAGUAGCCGGUCUGAGAGGAUGAACGGCCACAUUGGGACUGAGACACGGCCCAAACUCCCACGGGAGGCAGCAGUGGGGAAUCUUCCGCAAUGGACGAAAGUCUGACGGAGCAACGCCGCGUGAGUGAUGAAGGUCUUCGGAUUGUAAAGCUCUGUUAAUCGGGACGAAAGAGUUCUGCGUGAAUAAUGCAGAAAAGUGACGGUACCGGAAUAGAAAGCCACGGCUAACUACGUGCCAGCAGCCGCAGUAA
rnacentral:rRNA from 1 species